UGAGGGAUAUUGGUCAAUGGGCGCAAGCCUGAACCAGCGACGCCGCGUGGGUGAAGAAGGUCUUCGGAUCGUAAAGCCCUUUUCCCACUGAAGAGGUAGGACGGUAGGUGGGGAAGAAGUCUCGGCUAACUACGUGCCAGCAGCCGCGGUAAAACGUAGGAGACAAGCGUUAUCCGGAGUUACUGGGCGUAAGGGGCGUGCAGGUGGCGUCUUAAGUCUGUUGUGAAAGCGCCUGGCUUAACCGGGCGAGGCCAAUGGAGACUGAGAGGCUGGAGGACGGCGGAGGGGUGUGGAAUUCCGGGUGUAGUGGUGAAGUGCGUAGAGAUCCGGAGGAACACCAGAGGCGAAGGCGGCACUCUAAGCCGUACCUGACACUGAGCCGCGACAGCACG
rnacentral:rRNA from 1 species